rnacentral:tRNA from 1 species
CGCCCGCAAGGUGAUGGCGGUGUGCGCGGGGACGCUGACGCCGUUCCUCGCCGAAUGCGGCGGGAAGGACGCGGUGAUCGUCACCGCGGACGC